rnacentral:rRNA from 1 species
ACUCAAAGGAAUAGACGGGGGCCCGCACAAGCGGUGGAGCAUGUGGUUUAAUUCGAUGCAACGCGAAGAACCUUACCUACUCUUGACAUUUUCCGAAUCCUGCUGAGAAGCGGGAGUGCCGAAAGGAACGGAAGGACAGGUGCUGCAUGGCUGUCGUCAGCUCGUGUUGUGAGAUGUUGGGUUAAGUCCCGUAACGAGCGCAACCCUUAUCCUUAGUUGCCAGCGCGUCAUGGCGGGGACUCUAAGGAGACUGCCGGUGGAGAACCGGAGGAAGGCGGGGACGACGUCAAGUCAUCAUGGCCUUUAUGAGUAGGGCCACACACGUGCUACAAUGGGGCAUACAGAGGGAAGCGAAGCGGCGACGUGGAGCGAAUCCUGAAAAGUGCCUCGUAGUCCGGAUUGGAGUCUGCAACUCGACUCUAUGAAGUUGGAAUCGCUAGUAAUCGCGAAUCAGAACGUCGCGGUGAAUACGUUCCCGGGCCUUGUACACACCGCCCGU